CCUACGGGAGGCAGCAGUGGGGAAUAUUGCACAAUGGGCGCAAGCCUGAUGCAGCCAUGCCGCGUGUAUGAAGAAGGCCUUCGGGUUGUAAAGUACUUUCAGUGGGGAGGCGUUACCCGCAGAAGAAGCACCGGCUAACUCCGUGCCAGCAGCCCGGUAAUACGGAGGGUGCAAGCGUUAAUCGGAAUUACGGGCGUAAAGCGCACGCAGGCGGUCUGUAAGUCGGAUGUGAAAUCCCCGGGCUCAACCUGGGAACUGCAUUCGAAACUGCAGGAUAGAGUCUUGUAGAGGGGGGUAGAAUUCCAGGUGUAGCGGUGAAAUGCGUAGAGAUCUGGAGGAAUACCGGUGGCGAAGGCGGCCCCCUGGACAAAACUGACGCUCAGGUGCGAAAGCGUGGGGAGCAAACAGGAUUAGAUACCCUGGUAGUC
rnacentral:rRNA from 1 species